AUUGAACGCUGGCGGCAUGCCUAACACAUGCAAGUCGAACGGAGGUAGGGGGCAACUCUACUUCAGUGGCGGACGGGUGAGGAAUGCGUCGGAAUCUACCCUAUGGUGGGGGGAUAACACAGGGAAACUUGUGCUAAUACCGCAUGAUGUCGAGAGACCAAAGCAGGGGACCGCAAGGCCUUGCGCGAUAGGAUGAGCCGACGCCCGAUUAGCUAGUUGGUAGGGUAAUGGCCUACCAAGGCGACGAUCGGUAGCUGGUCUGAGAGGAUGAUCAGCCACACUGGGACUGAGACACGGCCCAGACUCCUACGGGAGGCAGCAGUGGGGAAUAUUGGACAAUGGGCGCAAGCCUGAUCCAGCAAUGCCGCGUGUGUGAAGAAGGCCUGCGGUUGUAAAGCACUUUUGUUCGGAAGAAUCAUGCCGGCUAAUACCUGG
rnacentral:rRNA from 1 species